AAAAACAACAUCCUACAAAUCUCAGGUGAUUGUUCUUUCUAAGAAUCAAUCCCAAAAUUGUCUAAUAAUCGAUCUAUUACGUCUCCGUUUACCUCUUUUCAUGUCAAAUUCAUAAAAGAGAUAAUGGUUUGCCCGACGAUGUUGCCAAAAGAAGAUGAUUCUAAAGAAGAUAAGAUUUACUUAUUAUGAAGAAGAGAGGUUCAAUGUCAUCUUUUGAGCUAUUCAAAAUACUGAAGCAAUAUUAAAGGCAAGCAUAAUCUCGGCGUUACAUUCACAUGGAGGAGGCUUCUAUUGAUUUUGGCUGUGGAGAAGUUAGCACAGCCCUAUAUAAUGUUAAAGGCUUGAUGUUAGCAAGAUCGGUGAAUGCUAGUGGUGCAGCCGCCAUUUUCUUGGAAGGAACGGGAAGAGAAUAGCUGAUUGCUUUAAAAGAUCUCAAUCCUAAAUUCGAGAGCAUCAUAAAGGCCCUAAUAGGUGAAGCCCAAUAUGAUUAUUACGGAUACAAAUUCACAAUACGCAGGACCCGCAUGCUUUACCGACUAUGGUUGGAUAUAGGUCCGACCCUUAGACCCGAGAUCCGCGUGUAAGUGUCAAGCAAAUUCUCAAUUUCACCCCUCUACGAUUUCUUUUAUUUAGUUGUAGAAUCAAAAAUUUGUAAUGACAUUUCUUUGUAAUUCUUUACACUUUAUAAGGUUAUUUAUUACCCAA